GAACUUAAAUCAAACAGAACUUGCUUCCGUGAUCAGUAGGGCAUGUUUUUUCCAGCGCACAAUAUACAGACUCAAGCAUGGACGAGGGAGCACAGCAAAUACUGGAGUAUUUAACUGAGGUAGAAGUUGCUGCAGAAGAUAUUCUUAGUGACAAACAACAGAUCGUGGAUCUGGAUUUGCGGAGAAACAAAAAUCGAGAAGCACUCAGCGCUUUACGAAACCAUUCCCCAAACGAUAAUGUGAAGGUGUGUUUUGGAAAUAUGUUCAUCAAAUUCCCUCAGGAGAGUACCAGAUCCAUGAUCCUUAAAGACCAAGACCAGCUUGACAAGGAAAUAAGUGAGCUCCGCAAACAGCUAAAAGCAAAAGUAAAUCGCCUCAAUGACUUGCAAGCCAUACCAGUCUAUUGUAUGGAGAAAAAUCCUGAAAUGUUUCCCUCAAAAAAAACUUAAUUUCUUUACGGCUGAAGAAAGAAAGACAUGAACAUUUUGGAUGACAAGGGGGUAAGCCUGAACUCAGGGGAUACAACCUUUCUCCUCUGAGCAGUGAUGAGGUUAAAGCAAUUAACAGCCUCCUUAAGAAAUAAUGUUGAACCUGAGGACUGCUUUGAACCUUAACUUAACAUUUGGACUGGAGUGUUACCUGUGCGUUGGAGCACUGAAUUGUCUGCAAGCAGUUGGUGACUUUGCAAACUUUUUGGUUGACUUUUGGUGACUGUCUCACACAAUCCGUCUGUUCAUAGAGUAGCUGUUGAAGAGAGUAAGCCAAAAGGCCACUACCACAAUAUACAGCCUGUAUUUUGUUACUUUCACAGGUUCUGUUCUAAAUGGCAGGCAAACAAAAUUGUUGAACUUUUGAAUUCAAUAAAGUGUCUGUCAAAGUCUGAAAACAAAUUUCUGCAAUAAUUAUGUGUGAUUUAUAUGCUGUCAAUUAAAAAUGCAUUGUUUCUGCUCAAUAAAUUAAAUGUUUCAUCACUGAU